CUUUUUGAUGUUAUCCGUCCUGGCCACCAGUCGUGUUGUUCGUGAUUUUGCGAACAGGGAAAGCUGUGAGGUUUUGGAGACGUGGAGUCUCAAUGUCAGUCUGAACACGAACCCCGAAGGAAAAGAGGAUCAAGGAACAGAAGCGUAAUUGGUCGAUUUUGAGAUUUAUAUGAAACUCGUUCUGCCCAAAGAUGUUAUGAAGGUAGCGGAAUUAGCCGAGGGGAUCCGAUGUCCAACUGCAUGUACGGAUACAGCCGACAUGGGGAUCUGCAGAUGUGAUGCGCGUUGUCUCAACUUUUAUGACGUCGAACUUCACACAGCACGCCCGUGGGUGUCAUUGUCUUGUCUUAAUGACGUCAUCAAAUUGUGUGCAGCUCUCCGGGGAGAACUCCAUCGCAGGGCCACCAUGCUGAGGGAAUUAGACGAUUGUGCCGGCAGCUGCCAGGAGCUUGGUUCAUAGAAGGUGGAAACCGUUUCUUCAGCUCUUUAUGACUCUCUGUUAAUAAAAAUCCUGUUACACGGAC